AGAUUGAACGCUGGCGGCAUGCUUUACACAUGCAAGUCGAACGGUAACAGGCCGCAAGGUGCUGACGAGUGGCGAACGGGUGAGUAAUGCAUCGGAACGUGCCCAAUCGUGGGGGAUAACGCAGCGAAAGCUGUGCUAAUACCGCAUAAGAUCUACGGAUGAAAGCAGGGGAUCGCAAGACCUUGCGCGAAUGGAGCGGCCGAUGGCAGAUUAGGUAGUGGUGAGGU
rnacentral:rRNA from 1 species